UUUGGAAUUUUGGACAAUGGGCGAAAGCCUGAUCCAGCGACGCCGCGUGGACGAAGAAGGUCUUCGGAUCGUAAAGUCCUUUUGGCAGGGAAAAAUUUUGAUUGUACCUGCAGAAUAAGAGGUUGCUAACUCUGUGCCAGCAGCAGCGGUAAUACAGAGACCUCGAGCGUUAUCCGGAAUCAUUGGGCGUAAAGCGUACCGAUAGGUGGUUUUGAAAGUCAGAUGUGAAAUAGCGAAGCUCAACUUCGUUACUGUCAUUUGAAACUUCAAGACUAGAAGGGCAAAGAGGAAGCUGGAACAAACGGUGUAGUAGUAAAAUGCGUUGAUAUCGUUUGGAACACCAAUAGCGUAGGCAGGCUUCUGGGUGCCACUUGACACUGCUAGGACGAAAGCGUGGGUAGCGAAUGGG
rnacentral:rRNA from 1 species